rnacentral:lncRNA from 1 species
CUGAAGAAAAUGUCAGCGAUCUGGAUGUGACCGUGGAAAGAGGACGCGUGACUGGAGGAGACAGAGGAUGAGGAAAAGCUUUAUUUGAGGAGCAUCAUCGGCCACUCCAACCCUUCCUGCAAAUUGGUAUUACUUCUGGGAUCCAUUUGCUUUGAUUCUUCCCCACCCCCCAUUAAAAAAUCUUGACUUGAGGACCAGCCCCUGCCACGAGGGGGGACGCCUCCUGGGUUGGCAGACCUUUUGGAUGUAGCGCUGUCGGAACAUUUCAGACCCUCUCCUCUGGAAAAGCCACCAUGAAUUCGGUAGCUGGGAAUAAAGAGAGGCUUGCGGUUUCCACCAGGGGCAAGAAAUACGGGGUGAAUGAAGUCUGUUCGCCCACCAAGCCGGCGGCGUCCUUCUCCCCCGAGAGCUGGUACCGCAAGGCGUUCGAGGAGUCGCGCGCCGGGAGCCGGCCCACCCCCGAGGGCGCGGGCUCCGCGCUCGGCUCAUCAGGGACUCCAUCCCCC